rnacentral:rRNA from 1 species
CAAUGGCUACGAUUCCAUAGCUGGUCUGAGAGGAUGAUCAGCCACACUGGGACUGAGACACGGCCCAGACUCCUACGGGAGGCAGCAGUAGGGAAUCUUGCGCAAUGGGCGAAGGCCUGACGCAGCCAUGCCGCGUGUAUGAUGAAGGUCUUAAGAUUGUAAACCGCUUUUGUCGGGGAAGAAACGCUUCGGGCUAAUACCUCGAAGUAAUGACGGUACCCGAAGAAUAAGCACCGGCUAAUUUUUUGUCAGCACCGCGGUA